rnacentral:rRNA from 1 species
GAUGAACGCUGGCGGCGUGCCUAAUACAUGCAAGUCGAGCGAACAGACGAGGAGCUUGCUCCUCUGACGUUAGCGGCGGACGGGUGAGUAACACGUGGAUAACCUACCUAUAAGACUGGGAUAACUUCGGGAAACCGGAGCUAAUACCGGAUAAUAUAUUGAACCGCAUGGUUCAAUAGUGAAAGACGGUUUUGCUGUCACUUAUAGAUGGAUCCGCGCCGCAUUAGCUAGUUGGUAAGGUAACGGCUUACCAAGGCAACGAUGCGUAGCCGACCUGAGAGGGUGAUCGGCCACACUGGAACUGAGACACGGUCCAGACUCCUACGGGAGGCAGCAGUAGGGAAUCUUCCGCAAUGGGCGCAAGCCUGACGGAGCAACGCCGCGUGAGUGAUGAAGGUCUUCGGAUCGUAAAACUCUGUUAUUAGGGAAGAACAACUGUGUAAGUAACCCUGCACGUCUUGACGGUACCUAAUCAGAAAGCCCCGGCUAACUACGUG